CCAACAGGGAUUGCCUCAGUAACGGCGAGUGAAGCGGCAACAGCUCAAAUUUGAAAUCUGGCCCUAGGCCCGAGUUGUAAUUUGCAGAGGAUGCUUCUGGCGCGGUGCCUUCCAAGUCCCCUGGAACGGGGCGCCAUAGAGGGUGAGAGCCCCGUCUGGUUGGCCGCCAAGCCUGUGUGAAGCUCCUUCGACGAGUCGAGUAGUUUGGGAAUGCUGCUCUAAAUGGGAGGUAGACCCCUUCUAAAGCUAAAUACCGGCCAGAGACCGAUAGCGCACAAGUAGAGUGAUCGAAAGAUGAAAAGCACUUUGAAAAGAGGGUUAAACAGUACGUGAAAUUGUUGAAAGGGAAGCGCUUGUGACCAGACGUGCGUCGGGGUGUUCAGCGGGCGUUCUCGCCCGUGCACUCGCCCCGGUGCAGGCCAGCGUCGGUUCGGGCGGGGGGACAAAGGCGCCGGGAACGUAGCUCCUCCGGGAGUGUUAUAACCCGGCGUGUCAUGCCCCCGCCUGGACCGAGGUUCGCGCUCCGCAAGGACGCUGGCGUAAUGGUCCCCAGCGGCCCGUCUUGAAACACGGACCAAGGAGUCGAGGUUUUGCGCGAGUGUUUGGGUGUCAAACCCGCACGCGUAAUGAAAGUGAACGCAGGUGGGAGCUUCGGCGCACCACCGACCGAUCCUGAUGUUCUCGGAUGGAUUUGAGUAAGAGCGUAGGGCCUCGGACCCGAAAGAUGGUGAACUAUACGUGAAUAGGGUGAAGCCAGAGGAAACUCUGGUGGAGGCUCGCAGCGGUUCUGACGUGCAAAUCGAUCGUCAAAUUUGCGUAUGGGGGCGAAAGACUAAUCGAACCAU
rnacentral:rRNA from 1 species